UACGUAGGGUGCAAGCGUUGUCCGGAAUUAUUGGGCGUAAAGAGCUCGUAGGCGGUCUGUCGCGUCGGAUGUGAAAACUCGGGGCUCAACCCCGAGCCUGCAUUCGAUACGGGCAGACUAGAGUUCGGUAGGGGAGACUGGAAUUCCUGGUGUAGCGGUGAAAUGCGCAGAUAUCAGGAGGAACACCGGUGGCGAAGGCGGCAUCCUGGACCGACACUGACACUGAGGAGCGAAAGCCAGGGGAGCAAACGGG
rnacentral:rRNA from 1 species